UACGUAGGGUGCAAGCGUUAAUCGGAAUUACUGGGCGUAAAGCGUGCGCAGGCGGUUUUGUAAGUCAGAUGUGAAAUCCCCGGGCUUAACCUGGGAACUGCGUUUGAAACUACAAGGCUAGAGUGUGGCAGAGGGGGGUGGAAUUCCACGUGUAGCAGUGAAAUGCGUAGAGAUGUGGAGGAACACCGAUGGCGAAGGCAGCCCCCUGGGCCAACACUGACGCUCAUGCACGAAAGCGUGGGGAGCAAACAGG
rnacentral:rRNA from 1 species